rnacentral:sRNA from 1 species
CCCGUCUCUACAAAAAUACAAAAAAAUUAGCCAGGCUUGGUGGCAGGCGCCUGUAGUCCCAGCUACUCGGGAGGCUGAGACGGGAGAAUGGCGUGAACCUGAGAGGCGGAGCUUGCAGUGAGCUGAGAUCGUGCCACUGGACUCCAGCCUGGGUGACAGAGCGAGACUCAGUCUCAAAAAUAAGAAAAGAAAUGGCGGUCUUCUAAUGACUAGGUUGUUCUGGAUGGCUUCCCUUUCAGUCCUGCUAUUGCUGCAAACUGAGUAUGAAAGAAGGCGACCCAGCCAUCUAUGCCGAAAGGGCUGGCUAUGAUAAACUGUGGCACCCAGCUUGUUUUGUGUGCAGCACCUGCCAUGAACUCCUGGUUGACAUGAUUUAUUUUUGGAAGAAUGAGAAGCUGUACUGUGGCAGACAUUACUGUGACAGCGAGAAACCCCGAUGUGCUGGCUGUGACGAGCUGAUAUUCAGCAAUGAGUAUACCCAGGCAGAGAACCAGAAUUGGCACCUGAAACACUUCUGCUGCUUUGACUGUGAUAGCAUUCUAGCUGGGGAGAUAUACGUGAUGGUCAAUGACAAGCCCGUGUGCAAGCCCUGCUAUGUGAAGAAUCACGCUGUGGUGUGUCAAGGAUGUCACAAUGCCAUCGACCCAGAAGUGCAGCGGGUGACCUAUAACAAUUUCAGCUGGCAUGCAUCCACAGAGUGCUUUCUGUGCUCCUGCUGCAGCAAAUGCCUCAUUGGGCAGAAGUUCAUGCCAGUAGAAGGGAUGGUUUUCUGUUCAGUGGAAUGUAAGAAGAGGAUGUCUUAGGAGGAGGGCACCCAGAAGUAUCAAGCCAUAGCUAUCCAAAGUGGUCUGCAUUUCUACUGUAAAAUGCAAUUUGAAAAAAAUAAAACGCAAAAAA